AUUGCUUCUCAGCCUUCGGGCUAGGAUCAAGUGUAAUAUCUGUUCUUACCAGUGUGAAACCAGACCUGAGGAGUGGCUUUUCAAAACUUCUGUAGCCACUUGUAUUUCUUUUAUUGUUAAUUAGUUAAUUAUCAAUUCAUGCCCUUUUUUAACCUUUUGGGGCAUUCCUU
ensembl:snRNA U2 U2 spliceosomal RNA